GGGUCAGGUGAUGAUGUUUCUAUUUCACUUAAUAUACAGUGGUACCUCUACUUACGAAUUUAAUGUGUUCCGAACACACAUUCGUAAGUAGAAAAAAAUUGUAAGUCAUGUACGUGGGGUUUUUUGUCCUUCACAGAUGGCAGAGAAAACUACACUCUUUUAUCUUCUCACAUAAAAAACCAAGAAUAAGCACCUGCUUCCUUGUAUUACAGUGAGACUCAAUAAAAAUCUAGUUUUUCCUCCUAUUUCUUUUGAAGUGGGAACUUGCAAGGCACUGGGCUGCUGCCAAAUGGGGAACACGAACUGACAGAAGAACAAGCAGCUUAUGUAAGCCUUGCUAGAUAAGUUGAGAGCUACAUUUGGUGCUGUGGUUGGGCUAACAAAGGGAUUAAUCUGUUCAGCGCAGGCUGGGAAGAGAGAUGGCUGUGCUGAAUGCACGCAGAGUCCUGGUGACUGGGUCCAAUCGGGGCAUUGGCUUGGAGCUGGUUAGGCAACUGGUGCGGAAAAACAACUGUCCAGAACAUGUCUUUGCCACCUGCCGGGAUCCAGAUGGACCACUUGCCCAGGACUUGAGGAAUUUGGCUGCCAAGCACCAGGGAGUGGAAAUCAUCCCACUAGAUACUUGUGACCCAUCCAGUAUCAAGGCUGCAGCAACUAAAGUCACCAAGCGGCUGAAAGGAGCUGGGCUGAAUCUUCUUAUUAACAACGCUGGGAUUUUAAAGCCAGGCUCUCUUGAGACAGAGACACCAGAGAACAUGGCUGAGGUGUACAAAACCAAUGUGAUUGGCCCCAUGAUGCUGAGCCAGGCAUUCCUGCCCUUGCUGAGGAAGGCAUCUCGGGAAAGCCCCCAGAAUGGGAUGAGCUGCAGCAAAGCUGCCAUUGUCAACGUGUCCAGUGAAGGUGGUUCUAUCACAAAUGUCUACAUGUGGCAUUUGGCACAUGUGGUCAGUUACCGUUGCAGCAAGGCUGCUCUGAACAUGCUUACACGGUGCCAGUCCCUGGGAUUUGACAAAGAUGAAAUCUUGUGCAUUGCGUUGCAUCCUGGGUUUGUGCAGACAGAUAUGGGAAGUUCAGUGGUAAGUGAUUUGUGGAGGAAUCUGUGAACUCUAUGCAUAUUUACUGUAUUUAACUCAUUUGACCUUACAUUGAAGUAAGGAUCAAGGUGUAUAAUUAGUUUCAAAAUCAGCAAGGAAGACAUGAAUGGCAAUAACUCCCCUCUCUUUGGUGCUUCAAAAGAAUAAUUAAAAGAAAAAAACAGUUGAGGAAAGCCAUUGGACCAAUGAUCUACUCCAGGAAGGAAAUAGAGUCACACACUCUGGCUACAAUUCAAUAUGUUAUUGUUGUUGUUUAGUCGUUUAGUCCUGUCCGACUCUUCCUGACCCCAUGGACCAUAGCACGCCAGGCUCUCCUGUCUUCCACUGCCUCCCGCAGUUUGGUCAAACUCAUGUUGGUAGCUUCGAGAAUACUGUCCAACCAUCUCGUCCUCUGUCGUCCCCUUCUCCUAGUGCCCGCAAUCUUUCCCAACAUCAGGGUCUUUUCCAGGGAGUCUUCUCUUCUCAUGAGGUGGCCAAAGUUUUGGAGCCUCAGCUUCAGGAUCUGUCCUUCCAGUGAGCACUCAGGGCUGAUUUCCUUCAGAAUGGAUAGGUUUGAUCUUCUUGCAGUCCAUGGGACUCUCAAGAGUCUCCUCCAGCACCAUAAUUCAAAAGCAUCAAUUCUUCGGCGAUCAGCCUUCUUUAUGGUCCAACUCUCACUUCCAUAGAUGUCUCUGCUUUUUAAUAUGUUAUUAGGUGUGCUUAAAUUCAAACUCCAGGUCUCUGCUGAAUUCUGGCUGGACACCCAAUCGUCGUAGAAAGAUGCUCCAGGGACAAGCCCCACUGACAGUGGAUGAGAGUGUGCAAGCAAUCCUGAAGACCCUUUCCCAUCUCUCUGAGAAAGACAAUGGCGCUUUUAUGAAUUGGGAGGG